rnacentral:rRNA from 1 species
CAAUAGCGUAUACUAAUGUUGUUGCAGUUAAAAAGCUCGUAGUUGAACUUCUGGUAGGAGUGUCCCGGCCUUUUUGUUUUUACAAAUUGUAUGCUGUGUGACAUCUCUGGCCAUCCUUCUUCUUUGUUUAAAGAAGAUCUUUCACUGUAAAAAAAUUAGGGUGUUCAAAGCAAAAGUUUCUUUGGAAUAUAUUAGUAUGGGAUGAUAAGAUAGGCUCUAGAUGCUAUUUUGUUGGUUUGCACAUCUAGAGAAUGAUUAACAGGGACAGUUGGGGGUAUUCGUAUUUACAUGUCAGAGGUGAAAUUCUUGGAUUUUGGAAAGACGAACUACUGCGAAAGCAUUUACCAAGGAUGUUUUCAUUAA